CGAUCUCAAAAUAAAGACGUAGGAUACGAGAUAUUAGCCGAUGACAACAGACAAACACUAGGAGAAACAAGACAAAGGGUCGUCUGCAUUUCGGAACACCAGCCUAAAACCUUCGCCUAUUGGACUGGCAGCCACGGGAAGGAGGUCUGAACAUUGGCCGGCGUCACACCUCAAAGCUGAUCUCCCUUGACCGUCCGAACAGGGGCUCCGAUGCCAGGUGGGUGUCAGAAUAUGCCCGCCGCAGUUGCGUCGAGCUGCAGGUAACCUUGAUGGCCACUUCAUAGGGGGGCCGGGGUCCAAGCCACGGGGGAGGUUGUGUGGAGGGACUGAAACAUCCGGGAUCCAUGGGAGGGUAGUCAAAUUCCUCACAGUUGGCGCCACUCCGAUGGCGUUCUGGGG
ensembl:lncRNA